CCCCUAGUAACUGCGAGUGAAGCGGGAAAAGCUCAAAUUUAAAAUCUGGCGGUCUUUGGCCGUCCGAGUUGUAAUCUAGAGAAGUAAUGCCCGUGCUGGACCGUGUAUAAGUCUCCUGGGAUGGGGCGUCAUAGAGGGUGAGAAUCCCGUCUUUGACACGGACUACCAGUGCAUUGUGGUAUGCUCUCAAAGAGUCGAGUUGUUUGGGAAUGCAGCUCAAAAUGGGUGGUAAAUUCCAUCUAAAGCUAAAUAUUGGCGAGAGACCGAUAGUGAACAAGUACCGUGAGGGAAAGAUGAAAAGAACUUUGGAAAGAGAGUUAAACAGUACGUGAAAUUGCUGAAAGGGAAACGCUUGAAGUCAGUCGCGUUGGCCGGGGAUCAGCCUUGCUUUUGCAUGGUGUACUUUCUGGUUGACGGGUCAGCAUCAAUUUUGACCGCUGGAAAAGGGCCUGGGGAAUGUGGCAGCUUCGGCUGUGUUAUAGCCCCUGGUCACAUACGGCGGUUGGGAUUGAGGAACUCAGCACGCCGCAAGGCCGGGUUUCGACCACGUUCGUGCUUAGGAUGCUGGCAUAAUGGCUUUAAGCGACCCGUCUUGAAACACGGACCAAGGAGUCUAACAUGCCUGCGAGUAUUUGGGUGAAAAACCCGAGUGCGCAAUGAAAGUGAAAGUUGAGAUCCCUGUCGUGGGGAGCAUCGACGCCCGGACCAGAACUUUUGGGACGGAUCCGCGGUGGAGCAUGUAUGUUGGGACCCGAAAGAUGGUGAACUAUGCCUGAAUAGGGUGAAGCCAGAGGAAACUCUGGUGGAGGCUCGUAGCGAUUCUGACGUGCAAAUCGAUCGUCAAAUUUGGGUAUAGGGGCGAAAGACU
rnacentral:rRNA from 1 species